UGCAGUCGAGCGGAUGAAGGGAGCUUGCUCCUGGAUUCAGCGGCGGACGGGUGAGUAAUGCCUAGGAAUCUGCCUGGUAGUGGGGGAUAACGUCCGGAAACGGGCGCUAAUACCGCAUACGUCCUGAGGGAGAAAGUGGGGGAUCUUCGGACCUCACGCUAUCAGAUGAGCCUAGGUCGGAUUAGCUAGUUGGUGGGGUAAAGGCCUACCAAGGCGACGAUCCGUAACUGGUCUGAGAGGAUGAUCAGUCACACUGGAACUGAGACACGGUCCAGACUCCUACGGGAGGCAGCAGUGGGGAAUAUUGGACAAUGGGCGAAAGCCUGAUCCAGCCAUGCCGCGUGUGUGAAGAAGGUCUUCGGAUUGUAAAGCACUUUAAGUUGGGAGGAAGGGCAGUAAGUUAAUACCUUGCUGUUUUGACGUUACCAACAGAAUAAGCACCGGCUAACUUCGUGCCAGCAGCCGCGGUAAUACGAAGGGUGCAAGCGUUAAUCGGAAUUACUGGGCGUAAAGCGCGCGUAGGUGGUUCAGCAAGUUGGAUGUGAAAUCCCCGGGCUCAACCUGGGAACUGCAUCCAAAACUACUGAGCUAGAGUACGGUAGAGGGUGGUGGAAUUUCCUGUGUAGCGGUGAAAUGCGUAGAUAUAGGAAGGAACACCAGUGGCGAAGGCGACCACCUGGACUGAUACUGACACUGAGGUGCGAAAGCGUG
rnacentral:rRNA from 1 species